rnacentral:lncRNA from 1 species
UGAACCGUCCUACGAAGAUCCUCCGGGACUUGAAACCUGGAUUUUCUGUAAUCUGCAAUAAAUUGCAUAGUCUGGGAUUCGAACCCCAGACCUGUGUGUAGAAGACUUUAAACCUAAACCAAUAGGCUACGGUGCUUUCACAAAUUAAAACUUGUUAUCAAGACACCGAAAGAUAGUUUUUUACACUAAAGCAAGAGAAUAUAGUUUUUUUUUUCCACACAAUCGAUUUUCUACUUUUUUACUGUUUCUUUUUUACUUUUGAUUUUUAUAUUAGUAUUUACCUUGAG